rnacentral:lncRNA from 1 species
UUUCUAUAUAUGUUUGACAUUUUUUUUAAAUAUUAUCGUGUGUAUUUUAAUUUUAAAAUUAUCUGUUAAAUUUUAGCGAAAAAUUAUUUAAAUUAAAGUUUUUUACGCGAUUAUUAUUUUUCACUUAAAGUGAAUAGUAACUCGCGUUUUCGACGAUGAUCGAGGAGAGAGAGGUGGGUUUCGGACGCGAAUCAGACUCUGUUUUGGAUGAUCCGAUAGCUCAUUUUCGAUGGUCCAACUGUGUCAGAGCAAUGACAUUGACGGGUUUUAUGUUUGAUGCACGAUUUU